UAAUGUGAAAUUAAAUCAAAGUAGAUACUGUAAAACAAUUAAAAUUAGAAUUCAUGGAAAUAUGUUUUUGAACAACUAACUGCUGUACAUGAGUUUGUAUUUCUGCAAUAGAAACAAAAGUUCCAGAACCAGAUGCAGACACACCCGGAGCCUACAAACUACCACCGCCGAGCAAGGACUAACAGUCACAUGAGGAGAUCAAAUAACAGCAGGAUUUGAAUCGCUCCGGAUGGGUUGGUGGCCAGGGCGCUGGCCACCUGUUACUGACACGACGACGACGGAGAACCUGUUUGGAGGCUCCCAUGAUGUAGGAGUAACCUCUCUGAGUUGAGCCCUUGACAAGGAGGGACGAGUCUUGGGUUCAUGAAUUACAGGCCCGACGGCGACAGAAAAAACAAUGACUACGAUAAUAACAUCGCCCAAAACCACCCACAUGAACCAGCGCACCAAUACACGAAGAUCACCUGAACCCCCCAAA